GUGGGGAAUCUUGCGCAAUGGGCGAAAGCCUGACGCAGCCAUGCCGCGUGAAUGAUGAAGGUCUUAGGAUUGUAAAAUUCUUUCACCGGGGACGAUAAUGACGGUACCCGGAGAAGAAGCUCCGGCUAACUUCGUGCCAGCAGCCGCGGUAAUACGAAGGGGGCUAGCGUUGCUCGGAAUUACUGGGCGUAAAGGGCGCGUAGGCGGACAGCUUAGUCAGAGGUGAAAGCCCAGGCUCAACCUUGGAAUUGCCUUUGAUACUGGCUGUCUUGAGUUUGGGAGAGGUGAGUGGAACUCCGAGUGUAGAGGUGAAAUUCGUAGAUAUUCGGAAGAACACCAGUGGCGAAGGCGACUCACUGGCCCAAUACUGACGCUGAGGCGCGAAAGCGUGGGGAGCAAACAGGAUUAGAUACCCCAGUAGUCC
rnacentral:rRNA from 1 species